rnacentral:lncRNA from 1 species
GAAAUGUGUUUGGUUGGGGGUUAUGAUGGGGGAUAAGGGGUUAUCCCCCCUUUAGGGCCCGUUUGUUUUGAUGUACGUGGAGUGAUGGAACUCAAAUUCCAUCACUUCCGUUAUUUGUUUUGGUGUAAGUCAAAAAUAUAAUGUAACUCAAGUUAUAUUAGACCUCCACUUCAUCUAUUCUCGACUUCCUCUUCUAAAGUGUCAAACUCGACUUCCACAACACUCAACCUCCUUUAAAAAAUUUAUUAAACAGUAAAACCUAAAGUCUACUUCCUUUAUAAUGGGUUAGAAUUACCUUAUUUAUAAUAAAUUAGGAUUACCUUUAAGUAAUAAUAAAAAAUUUAAUUAUAUAAUAGGUUAAAUUUUAAAACGGUAAAUUUACCAUUAUAUUUAGGAGAUAACGGGAUCCACUUACUUACAUCAAAACAAACAACAGAACUCAAAAAACUAAUUUUACCAACACCUAGUUUGUGAUAUACUGAACCUUAGUAAAUUGGCAAGCUUAUAGUAUAAGCUUAUGCUUGUUUGAAUUGGAGAUGUUUUGCUCAAAAUAGACGUAAAAACAGACUUUGAAACUCAAAUUGUAGAGGACUAAAGUUGAAUACUUAGUUAUAGAGGGGCUUGUCGGCAAUUCUGCUUUAUUUAAGCAGUGGAGUCCACGUGCUAUUCCCCCAUCCUUAUCCUUUUCGUUUUGUUGUUUUUUUGUUGCUAAGUUUUGAGUACAAAUUAAUUAACAGGGAAGAACACUUGGUUUCGUUCUUACGGGCGAGUGAGCGAGGCGAGCGAGUCGAGUGCGCCCGUGUGUAUUUUUAACGUGUGGACGUCGCGGUUGUGCCGUUAGGGGAGACCGGGCGAGCGCGUGGGUUGCCUUCUUUCGAUUUUGCGCCGUAGUUGGAUUAGCAUUGCGAGAUGGGUUAAAGUUAUCGGAAUUUUUGGAUUUCCUCCUAAGCUUCAGUUGACAGCAUGUAUUUUUGGGAUUUGUAUAUCGUAUUUAAUAGUUCGAACUCGUAGAUUUGCGUGUUCUUUGAAAUCUGAAUUUGGAGCAUAGUUAGUGGUUUAAAUAAAUUAUACAUGUUGGACUUGGAAUUGACUUAGGAGAAAACUAUAACUUCUACACUGUCGUUUUCUGAAAACUACCAGAUUUAGCUUUAGCAGCUGUAGUUUGGUUGUUAUCGCCGCAGUUUAUAUGCGGUGGAUAUGCAGAUUAGUGUAGGAUGAGUUUACACUCGUGCUGGAAUGCCGAGUUUAUUUUUUACAAUGUUGUAUAGACUGUCCGGAUUGUCGGGUGCCGUCGCGGUGGACGGUAGACCCAAAUUCCUAUUUUUGCAUUAGAUUGUGUCGAGGGCACGUGAGUUUUGGGUUGUUAGACCAAUUAGACCCAUAUGUUUUGACUAUAGCCUGUGAGAGCUUGAUUGAGCUCGGCAGAGACACGCUUGCAUACUCGGU